CGCGCGCGCCGGAUGGGGCGCGUUCGUGCGGUUGCUGCUCACGCCCGAGCUGUGGGUUGCCGCGCAGAUCCGCAAGCGCGCGG
rnacentral:tRNA from 1 species